rnacentral:rRNA from 1 species
UUGGAGGGCAAGUUCUGGUGCCAGCAGCCGCGGUAAUUUCCAGCUCCAAUAGCGUAUAUUAAAGUUGUUGCAGUUAAAAAGCUCGUAGUUGAAUUUCGGGAUUGACACAUCGGUCGUGCCUUAAGGGGUAUGAACUGGUGUAGUCAGUUUCUCACCUUCUGGAGAACCGCGAUGUCCUUAAUUGGGUGCCGCGAGGAACCAGGACCUUUACUUUGAAAAAAUUAGAGUGUUUAAAGCAGGCAUUUUGCUUGAAUACAUUAGCAUGGAAUAAUAAAAUAGGACGGAUGGUUCUAUUUUGUUGGUUUCUAGGAUCACCGUAAUGAUUAAUAGGGAUAGUUGGGGGCAUUAGUAUUCAAUUGUCAGAGGUGAAAUUCUUGGAUUUAUUGAAGACUAACUACUGCGAAAGCAUUUGCCAAGGAUGUUUUCAUUAAUCAAGAACGAAAGUUAGGGGAUCGAAGACGAUCGGAUACCGUCGUAGUCUUAACCAUAAACUAUGCCGACUAGGAAUCAGACGAUGUUAAUUUUUUAAUGACUCGUUUGGCACCUUACGGGAAACCAAAGUGUUUGGGUUC